GCUCCCGUUUUUCCCUGUGUAUGGUAAUAUGAGCUAUAUUGCUCUGUUACUUUUUAUUUUUAAACACACUAGAUUCGGUACUUUGGCUGCAUUUCCCCCUUCUUCUUCGUCUUUCCCCAACCCAACUUUAACAAAGACCGAGGCUUCAAACUCUUUUCAUUGCCAGGCUUGGAAAUCCUGCCAGGUUAAAAAAAAAGUUAUUGAAAACCUUUCUCCCCUUAUAGGCUCGUUUUGACAGGAAAUCUUUGAGAGGCAGCGGCAGUGAGGUGCCCAGAGAUUUCAUCUCUCUUUUGCUUUAGGAAAUGCUGAGCAUAAGGCUCCCUAUUAGGCAAAUAGAAAGAGCAGCAAAAUCCCCCAACGAUCGUCCUCCCCGGCGCCCGGGCUGACAGCCCUCUGCAUCUUAGACCACCAGACAGAGCCACGACUGAGGAUUCUACCUCUCAGAGGCAUGGGAAAAGUUUCUGACAGCGGCUUACAAAAAAUAUUAUUUUGUCUCUCUUUACAGAUCAUCUGGCUCUAUAAAUUUUGCAUGGGCUAAUCACAAUAAAAUCUACCCUGCCGAGAAGGAAUUCCUAUGCAGCGUUUCUGCUUUUGUUCUGCACAAUUUUGACAGGAACUUCCUGUCUGGAUGCCCCCUCUCCCAGUCAUUGGGCUCUGAGGUUUGCCACAUCGCCUUGAGCCACAGUCGUCAGAACAACAGACUUAGAGAGACCAAGCACGGGAGCUGGAAGCAAGGUUUGCCAGGGCAGCUGGGUACUUCUUGGUCUUGCCUGGACUGAGCACAGUUUGCCACUGAGCCGCUGUUGAUGGGGACAAUCUGCAAAAUCACCUUCACUACAGAACUUCCUUAACAAGUGUUGAUGCACAGAUUUCCAAACUCCUCUUGAUCACCCUAUAUUUAAGGUCACUGUCUUAACAUAAAUAUUUUCAUUAUAGUUGUGCCUGUGGAAUUUGCUAAGCAUCGUAUAUGAUAAAGUAGCCUGAAUAUAUCACCAUUAAUUAAUUAGUUGCUAUAAAUAGAUUGAAGAUAAAUGGA